rnacentral:tRNA from 1 species
UCACUUUUAAAGGAUCUUAGUUUAACCCGUUAGCCUUAGGAGCUAAAACACUUGG